ACUCUAGGGGUUGUGAUAACUCUGAGAGGGCAAGAGGGUAAGAAAAGAGCGUUUAUAAGGGCUGAGUCAGGACAGGUGAAGUGAGCACUCUGGCAUGACUUUCGCCAGCUCCCACGCGCCCUCCCACAGCGAGUCAUCCAAGAUGGCGCCAGGCCCGCGCGGUUGGAGGUCAACGGCACACGGAAGGGGCAGAUCUUAAGACGCGGGGAUACCGGGAGCGAGGAAGGGCGUGAGGCCCCGGGUGGGAACAUGCAAGUGAUCAGCCACGAGGAAACUAGCAUCAGCGAACCAGAAGAUAGGGGCUAAAGAUGAUGGGACUCAAGCACCUGACUCUCAGUCUUGAAACUGACCUGCGGUGAGGUUGUGAGGUCACGCCAGGCAUGUCCAUUCUCUGCCCAGGCUUCUGAGACCAGCAGACCCCCAAAGAGGUGCUCUCAUGAAGACCCCCUAGCUUUCUUCUCGGCCUGUCCUUCCCUGGGCCUCGUAAGGAAGUGGGGGCGCCACGGCCCUCAUUGCUUCCUCCGGCCCCUGUCUCCGCGGGGUCUGACAGCCCCUGCAAGAGGCGGUGCAAGGCCUACCUAGUCCCAUCCUGGCCAGACCCCGGCGUCCAGGCGUCGGGCUUGCACGCAGCAGGAGAAAGACAGGGAAAGCUCACCAAACCCCCAUAAAAAAAUAAAAAAUAAAAAGAA